rnacentral:rRNA from 1 species
AGAAAAUGACUGAGCGGCGAACGGGUGAGUAACGCGUGAGCAACCUACCUUAGUUACUGGGAUAGCCCGAGGAAACUCGGAUUAAUACCGGAUAUUCUUAUUUAAUCACAUGAUUUUUUAAGGAAAGGUCAGCCGAACUAAGAUGGGCUCGCGUUCUAUCAGCUAGUUGGUGAGGUAAAAGCUCACCAAGGCAACGACGGAUAGCUGGUCUGAGAGGACGAUCAGCCACACUGGGACUGAGACACGGCCCAGACUCCUACGGGAGGCUGCAGCAGGGAAUAUUGCGCAAUGAGCGAAAGCUUGACGCAGCGACACCGCGUGUGGGAUGACGGAUCUAGGUUUGUAAACCACUUUCAGGAGGGAAGAAAAUGACGGUACCUCCACAAGAAGCCCCGGCCAACUACGUGCCAGCAGCCGCGGUAAUACGUAGGGGGCGAGCGUUGUCCGGAUUUAUUGGGCGUAAAGAGCUCGUAGGCGGUUCAACAAGUCGGUCGUAAAAGUUCAGGGCUCAACCCUGAAAUGUCGAUCGAUACUGUUGUGACUAGGAUACGGUAGAGGUGAGUGGAAUUCCGAGUGUAGCGGUGAAAUGCGUAGAUAUUCGGAGGAACACCAAUUGCGAAGGCAGCUCACUGGGCCGCUAUCGACGCUGAGGAGCGAAAGCUAGGGGAGCAAACAGGAUUAGAUACCCUGGUAGUCCUAGCUGUAAACGAUGGAUACUAGACGUAGGAACUGGAUUGACGGUUUCUGUGUCGUAGCUAACGCGUUAAGUAUCCCGCCUGGGGAGUACGGUCGCAAGACUAAAACUCAAAGGAAUUGACGGGACCCCGCACAAGCGGCGGAGCAUGCGGCUUAAUUCGAUGAUACCCGUAGAACCUUACCUGGACUUGACAUAUAGGGUCUAGCUAUAGAGAUAUAGUGUGCAUUAGCGCCCUAUACAGGUGGUGCAUGGCUGUCGUCAGCUCGUGUCGUGAGAUGUUGGGUU